UGACAGCUUUGUCAGUCAUUUGGGCACACAGUCAGCUGCAGCGUGGACACCUCUUAGCCCAGUAUGUGAGAAAGGACCAGUAUCCAUUUACUAAAAUGGUCUCUGAUCUAAAAUCUAUUCUUGUCAAUUAGUAUUUUUCCAUUGACAUCGAUGCACUUUGGAACUUGCUUGUGGAGGCAGAUCAAGUCAAGAAAGCUCAGGAACAGUUUGGAAACACAGGACAGGAAAGUGCCAGAGACUUCAGAGCAUUUCACCAGGAUGGUGGGAUGGGAUUUUUGCUAGCAAGAUAAACUGGAUUCCCAGGGAAAAGAGGUGAAUAUCCUGGAGAAGUAUUUCAUUUGGGACACACAGUGCUUUAUCUAGCAAGUUCAGCCUCACC
rnacentral:lncRNA from 1 species